AGGAUGAACGCUGGCGGCGUGCCUAACACAUGCAAGUCGAACGUCCUGUCUCGCAAGAGGCAGGGAGUGGCGGACGGGUGAGUACCACGUGGGUUAUCUACCGUGAGGUGAGGAAUACCGGCGAGAAAUCGCCGACAAGACCGCAUAGGCUCGAUGCAAGUCGAGCAAAGCUCGCUCGCAAGAGGGAGCGCCACACGAGGAGCCUGCGCCCGAUUAGCUGGCUGGUGGAGUAAUGGUUCACCAGGGCGACGAUCGGUAGCUGGUCUGAGAGGACGAUCAGCCACACUGGGAUUGAGAACGGCCCAGACUCCUACGGGGGGCAGCAGUGAGGAAUUUUCGUCAAUGGGGGCAACCCUGAACGAGCAACGCCGCGUGCAGGAAGAAGGUUUUCGGAUCGUAAACUGCUUUUCUCGGGGAAGAGAACGGACGGUACCCGAGGAAGAAGCCCCGGCUAACUACGUGCCAGCAGCCGCGGU
rnacentral:rRNA from 1 species